ACGCUCGACACCUACGGAGGCAGCAGUAGGGAAUCUUCCACAAUGGGCGCAAGCCUGAUGGAGCAACACCGCGUGAGUGAAGAAGGGUUUCGGCUCGUAAAGCUCUGUUGUUGGAGAAGAACGUGCGUGAGAGUAACUGUUCACGCAGUGACGGUAUCCAACCAGAAAGUCACGGCUAACUACGUGCCAGCAGCCGGCGGUAAUCUGAGCGGGCUGGCAAGGC
rnacentral:rRNA from 1 species